GUGCUCACUUUGGUAGCACAUGUACUAAAAAUUGGAAUGAUACAGAGAAGAUUAACAUGACCCCUGCACAAAGAUGACAUGCAAAUCUGUGAAGUGCUCCAUAUUUUU